CAAGAAAAGGACUAUGGAAAAGAUAACUUUCAGGAACAAGUCUGUGGAUCUUGAGAAGUGAAGUACACAGGAGAUAACAAGCAGCACUCCCUCCCAGAGCCUGGACUCAGGGCAUGGGAACUGUGGGCCAAACCUGCAGACAGACGGUGACUAUUGAUGACCCCAGAGGCCUCCAAGGAGAAAUGCACCAGUGGAACAGAGCAGUGGACACACUGGACUGCAGCACUGAAAUCUGAAAUUUGGACAGUGUUCAGUGGGGACCCAUCCUCUCUGCUCCCGUGACAUCAACCAUCACCUGGGUGACUCCUCUGAGGACCCAUGUCUGAUGCAGCUCACAUGUCUGGCAAGAAGCAUGCUCAUCUGGUAACCUGGCCCAGAGCAAGCCAUCAGUAGAAGAGCCGAAGCUUGUGGCACAUAGAAAAAGGAAAAACAGCAACUGGAAUGGGGAGUGACCAAUGCUGACAUCCAGAUAAGAGUAUUUUCAAAUUGAGGUUGAUUGACUCCGUGGAUGCAGAAGCUGCUGAUGCUGACUGCCAGCUAUCAGAGACAAGCACAUUUGCUCAGAUCUGUUUCCGUGAGUGGGAAGGUAGGUGGGGCCCAC
ensembl:lncRNA